UACGGGGGGGGCAAGCGUUGUUCGGAAUUACUGGGCGUAAAGGGCGCGUAGGCGGUUGGAUAAGUCAGCUGUGAAAACCACGGGCUUAACUCGUGGCCUGCAGUUGAGACUGUCUGGCUUGAGUGUGGGAGAGGAGAGUGGAAUUCCCGGUGUAGCGGUGAAAUGUGUAGAGAUCGGGAGGAACACCGGUGGCGAAGGCGGGUCACUGGGCAAUUCCUGACGCUGAGGAGCGAAAGCAUGGGUAGCGAACAGG
rnacentral:rRNA from 1 species